CUCACGAUCUACUAAAGGGAAAGUAGCUUCUACUAAAGGAAAAGUAGCUUGAUUGGUUCGAAUCCAAUUCGUGAGA
rnacentral:tRNA from 1 species